AUGCAUAAAAUCCUGGACAUACAGGCUUGGUUAACAAACAGUUUCUCAUAUGUUUUAUCUGAUUAUAUAUUUAGUUUCUUAUCCAAUAGGCCCCAUCCUAUCCUAGACCACAAUUUACCCAUCCCCCUUUUGAUACCUGGCUCUGCCCAGGUAACAACCUUACCUACUCUAAAUAAUGACUUAGCCUUCUGUUCUGACAUUAUCAUGUAGGAGCGCCCCUUUCAUUUUCCACAUGUCCAAUUAUCCCUUUUGUCUCCACUCAGUAACUGUUAUCUACACAUUCUGUUAUCUUUGCUCGUCCUGGCUCCCUUUUCAAACUUCUCCUCUCUGCUCUCCAACCUUCAAGGUCUCUGCAGUGCAGGGGAGGGCUCUUCUGUCUGCCUUUUCCCCUUAUCUGUCUGUAGCUCGUUUUCUCAUGUUUCCAAAUUUGAACUAAAUGUCUCACUGUUUGGCUUUAUCUAAACUCAUGGAUUUUUUUUUUUGAAAAACAUGUCUAUGGUGGCACUUUCUAAAGUCCUUAUAUAGGUUAAUUAAACCCCACUAUAAUUAAUUUACCUUAAAAAUAAAAACUAAAAACAAACCGUAUUACCCAUGACCACAAAUUAAAUAUUCAAAUGGCACCCCCUAUAUACAGGUGUUAAAACCAAACACAAAUAUCUAAAUUUCUUCCCUGCCCUGUUGGCUCAAAAUAUGUCCCAAAUACUUAACAUGAGUCUACCAUAAAUAAAACUUAUCCUAGCUAAAUUUUCACACCACGUUCAUCAGAGAAAAUAUAUUGACACUAUAAUGUAAAUUUCACUGCAUUUUUGUAUUAAAUUACCUUAAUAUCAGUAUUACAAAUUACCCUAGAUUCUCCAUCCAAAUGGCUUUCCAAUGAGGCUGAUCAGACCACAAAGGAAAGUUACAAUGGAGGUCAUAAGUCAUACCACCUUCCCUGUGUUUGAUUACCAAUUUCAAACCAGUUGUAACUUUAGUUAACGUCAACCUGCUCCGCCACAGGAGUGCCAUCUGAUGCACUGUCCAGCUAGACCAGUCAGGACCAGUCUCUGCCACUAAAUUCUUCCACGUCCAUUUAUUAUACCCCCCUUCUGUCAUG
rnacentral:lncRNA from 13 species